ensembl:snoRNA
UAUAUAUAAUCAUUAUCUGAGUAAAACUGAUGAAACAUCAAGAAAAUCCCUCUAGUCAAGCUCUGAUCCAG